CAGUCGCCGCGGUAACACAUAGGGUGCGAGCGUUAAUCGGAAUUACUGGGCGUAAAGCGUGCGCAGGCGGUUAUAUAAGACAGAUGUGAAAUCCCCGGGCUCAACCUGGGACCUGCAUUUGUGACUGUAUAGCUAGAGUACGGUAGAGGGGGAUGGAAUUCCGCGUGUAGCAGCGAAAUGCGUAGAUAUGCGGAGGAACACCGAUGGCGAAGGCAAUCCCCUGGACCUGUACUGACGCUCAUGCACGAAAGCGUGAGGAGCAAACAGGAUUAGAUACCCCCGUAGUCCCUGUCUCUUAUAC
rnacentral:rRNA from 1 species